ensembl:ncRNA Y53F4B.45 ncRNA
AGUCGAGAAAGACCUUGCAUGCUGGCGCCGGACGAAAGUAAGACUCUCGUCGUCUGGCACAGCAACGACUCAAUAAAUGCUUUAGCACCCAAUCAAAGUGUUUUUGCAUGAUGACCGUUAACAUGGAGGUCCCACCAGCCAGAGGCUGUCUCUGUGUGCCCCUGCAGGUUUAAAGAGACCUACUGCAGGUACGGAGAGAGCUUCGCGAGCUUUGAGGAAGCAGGAUUUCCUAAGUGCGCCAAUACCGCUACACCAGGCCACAACUAUCUAUUUGGAUUCUUAUAUUCUGUACACCAUCAGACCCCUCCCCAAGCUACUAUUCCAUCUAAUUCCAUCUAAUUCUCGUCAGUUAUUUUAUUUUGAACUGCUUGCAACAUGAUCGGUCAGUUGGUUGGAAAAUGCCCACCUUGCAGUCAUUGGAAUCAACUACAAUCAGAAGAAUCGGAUUGAGUUUUUACAUCAUUAAUAUUUAUUAUUUUAUUCCAAUGUUAAAGUCCUUUAGUGAUUCAGUUUUUUCCCAAAAAGCCAGAGAGCUAUUUAAAAAAGAGCCAAAAAGGGCCAAGAGAGCCACUUUAUUUUGAGCCAUAUAAUUGCGAGGAAAAUACCGCAAAUAUUUUGAAAAAUUGAGCGAGGGACAAGUUCGGUCAGCGAAACAAAUUUUCGUUUGGAUGUUAUUUGACAUUUAGGGUUAUUUUGUUUCUUUUUAUUGUAUUUUGGCCCGAUGAGAUAUUAGCUUGGCAUAGUUUUUUUUUCGCUUUGAUUGUUUAUUUCUCUUUUGGAAUUGGCCUUGACUCGAGCAUAAUUCUAUCUCUGCUUCGAGGACGGACCACUUCUAAAAGGGGUGGGGAUGGGACGUCAUUUUGCACCAUCAUUUGUUCUUUUCUCUCGAGAAGGUGUGAGUAACUCAGAGCAAAAUAACAUCAUCGCUUUGAGGACAAAGCAUCUUUUCGAGGGGGUAGGAUGUGGAAGUGGUCCUUGAUCUCUUCUCAUUCUAGUGUCAUGUGUCUUGCCGUCGCGCGUCUAUGGGCGCCUGACGACGAGAGACACGAGGCACGAGAGCAUAUGGCGGCACACCCUCACGAGUAGAAGAUUCUUCAGUCGAGAAAGACCUUGCAUGCUGGCGCCGGACGAAAGUAAGACUCUCGUCGUCUGGCACAGCAACGACUCAAUAAAUGCUUUAGCACCCAAUCAAAGUGUUUUUGCAUGA